AUUCCAUGGUGCGGACACGCCAAAAUAUACUCCUGAAGCCUCUCCCAUGCUUCCAGAAUUGACUCAUUUGAUGCCUACUAGAAGUUCGAAAUCUGACCACGAAGAGC